CUUUACGCUUACAGGGUCAUACAGGUUGGAGGCGCAGUUUUCGCUUCGUACUUUACUUUUCAACUUACCUGGCAUUGAGCACCUGAAAAGGCGCGCGCAACCUUCGAUCUCCCUAAAGUCUGUUCGCUUUCCACAAGUUUCUUCUGCGAUAUAAACAAAGAGAGCCGCAGUUUUGGAUGAAUAAUUAACCAGAGGAGUCCAGCCGCAAAGUGGAGAGCAGAGCAAACAUGCAGAGCUGAGCCAGGAGAGAGGCGCGCCUUCGGACAGGAAAGCAGAACUCCGCGCGCUUCAACCUUCGUCCCAUUUCAUUUCCAUGUCGUCUUGAGUUGGAGUCUGUCAUCAUGCCGGGAGCGGAGAGCAGAGUGGAAGGCCGGCUGAAGAAGCUGGAGUCCCUCAUGAGGAACCCACAGUCGGCCCUGAACUUGGAGACUCUGCUGGACUCUAUGGAAGCGUUGGCUCAUGAUCUGAACUACCCUGUCCUGAGAAAAAACAAAAACAUAGAGGCCUUCCUCAACAGAUAUGAAAAGGUGGUGAGUCAGCUGCAAGAGCUCCAGGUGAAGCUUGACGACUUUGAAAAGGUGAAAUUGAUUGGAAGAGGAGCAUUUGGAGAAGUACAGCUGGUUCGACACAAAACCUCCCAGAAGGUUUACGCCAUGAAGAAGCUCAGCAAGUUUGAGAUGAUCAAGCGGUCAGAUUCAGCUUUUUUCUGGGAGGAGAGAAACAUCAUGGCCUUUUCCAACAGUCCCUGGAUUGUCCAGCUUUGCUGCGCCUUUCAAGAUCGUCGACACCUCUACAUGGUAAUGGAGUUCAUGCCCGGGGGAGACCUGGUCACCCUCACCAUGAACUAUGACCUCCCUGAGAAGUGGGCUUGCUUCUACACGGCGGAAGUGGUGCUCGCCCUGGACGCCAUCCACUCCAUGGGCUUCAUCCACCGGGACGUCAAACCCGACAACAUGCUGCUGGACCACCUCGGACACCUGAAGCUGGCCGACUUCGGCACAUGCAUGAAGAUGGACUCUUCAGGAAUGGUGCAUUGUGACACAGCGGUGGGCACACCAGACUAUAUCUCUCCUGAGGUGCUCCAGUCUCAAGGUGGUGAAGGUCAUUACGGCCGUGAAUGCGACUGGUGGUCGGUUGGAGUUUUCAUCUAUGAAAUGUUUGUUGGUGAAACUCCCUUCUACGCAGAGUCUCUCGUUGGAACGUACGGGAAGAUCAUGAAUCAUCAGAACACCCUCGUCUUCCCAGAUGACGUAGAAAUGUCUCAAGAGGCGAAAGAUCUAAUCUGCGCCUUUCUUUCCGACAGGGAAGUUCGUCUGGGUCGCACUGGAGUGGAUGAGAUCAAACGCCACCCCUUCUUCAAAAAUGAACAGUGGACCUUUGACAACAUCCGUGACACUGUGGCUCCAGUUGUGCCAGAGCUGAACAGCGACAUAGACACCACCAACUUUGAUGACAUAGAGGAAGAUAAAGGCCAUGCUGAGACGUUUCCUCCACCCAAAGCCUUUGUGGGCAACCAGCUACCAUUUAUUGGCUUCACAUAUUUCAAGGAGAAUCAGUUGUUGAGUAAAAGCAGCAGCAUUUCUGAGGAAGAAUUGAAGGACUGCAAGGAUAAAAAGGAUAAAGAGAACAGUUUGAACAGUAAGAACGAGCUUAAAAAGAAACUUGAUCAGCUGGAGGAACAGCUUGACCAUGAGAUGCAAGCUAAAGAUGAGCUGGAGCAAAAGUGCAAAAAUGCAACCAACCGUAUAGACAAACUGGUGAAAGACUUGGAAACAGAGAUGAACAGCAGGCAAAGAGUCGAGGCCUCGCUGAGGCAGCUGGAGCGGGAGCGAGCCCUCCUGCAGCACCAGAGCGCAGAAAGCCUCCGUAAGGUGGAGCUUGAGGCAGGAAGAAAGCGCAGCCUGGAAAACGAAUUGAACAGCUUGAAGGACCAGUUUGAGGAUCUGAAAAAGAGGAAUCAGCAAUCGCAGAUUUCUAAUGAAAAGAACAUGGAGCUGGAAAAUCAACUUAAAGAAGCGAAUGCCAUGCUAAAGGCGGAAAAAGAGGCCGUGGCCCAGCUGAAGAAGAGUCAGACUGAGGCUCAGAAACAUGCACAGAGCCUGGAGAUCAGCCUCAGAGAAACAAAAGAACAAAACAGCCAACUGGAGAACAACAAGGUGGAGUUGGAGAACCAGCUCAGAGGAAUGCAGACAGAGCUGGAGGAGGAAAAGAGGGACUGCCGUCUUGGGACAGAAACCAUUGCUGACCUGCAGGGACGAAUCUCUAGUUUGGAAGAAAAGCUGAGCGAGCUGAAGGCGUCUCUCACCCAGGUCCAAACGGAGAAGAUGGAGCUACAGAAGAAACUUAACUGUCUUGAAAAGGAAAAAAGCAACCAGGACAUCAAUCUGACAUUUAAGAUCAAGUCGCUCCAGCAGAGUUUGGAGCUGGAGGAGGCGGAACACAAGGCCACAAAAGCCAAACUUGCUGAUAAGAGCACGAUUUAUAAGUCCAUAGAGGAGGAGAAGUCUCAGGCUUUAAAAGAGUUGGAGAGCACCUUGAAGGAGGAGCGCAGCUUGAAGCAGCAGAUGGAGGGGAAGCUGCUGCAGCUGGAGAAGGACUACUCCAUGCUGGACUGCGAUUACAAGCAGGCACAGCUCAAGCUGGAGGACAUGCAUGGGCAGAAGGAAAUACUGUCUGAAGAGGUCAAGCAGCUGACCUUGCGUUUGGAGCAGGAGACACAGAAACGGAAUUUGAUGCAGAAUGAUCUGAAGAUGCAGAACCAACAGGUGUCUGCACUUCGCUCAUCAGAGAAGCAGUUUAAGCAGGAUCUCAACCAUCUGAAGGACAUGAAGCAGAUCCUAGACAAGCAGAAUCAGGAGCUACGCAGGGAAAAACAAGAGACUGAUGGCCAGUUGAGGGAACUGAAGGACCACCUGGAGGCAGAGCAACAAUUCACAACGCUUUACAAAACACAGAUCCAUGAGCUGAAGGAGGAGUGCAACGAGAAGAAUAAGGCGUACAAAGCGUUGCAGCAGCGAGUCGCAGAAUACAUAGAGGAAAGGGAUUCUCUGGCAAAACAGCUGGAAUCCAGUUUAACCAAUGCCGAUACAGAGCGCCUGGCCCGCUCCGUUGCCGAGGAGCAGUUCUCCCAACUGCAGAAGGAGAAGAUCAUGAAAGAGCUGGAGAUUGAAGACAUGCUGGCCAAACACAAGCAGGAGCUCGGUGACAAGGAGGCCACCAUUAGCUUGCUGGAGGAGUCCAAUCGCACCCUGACUGAGGAUGUGGCUAAGCUGGCCAGUGAAAAGGAAGAACUCAACAACCAACUGAUAGAAACACAACACAAGCUCAUGGAAGCCAAGGAGUUGGAGAAAGAGAUAGAGACAAUGAAGGCGUCUUUUGACAAGCAGCUAAAGACUGAAAUCACCCUCAAGAAGGAGGCUGUGAGCAAACUGACUGAGGUGAUGAACAGAAAGGAGAAGGGACGGGGAGGCCAUCGAGGCAUCGAUACACAGAUACUCAAGAAGGAAAAGGAGAAUAGGAUGCUGCAGCUUCAGCUGAGGGCAGAAAAGGAGAAACUCAACACCACCAUAUACAAAUACCAGAAGGAUCUGAACGACAUGCAGGCGCUGAUAGCAGAAGAGAACCAGGCCCGUUUGGAGCUUAAGCUGGCGCUGGACAGCAAAGACUGUGACAUCGAGCGACUCCGGUCCCAGAUCACCUCCCUCAGCAUCCAUUCUCUAGACACCACCAGCAUCGGCAGUGGAAACGACCUGGAAACGGCUGAUGGAUAUCCAGUGCGGAUAACUCACUCUCACACCUCAGAGUCAGUGUCCUUCACCUACCAGCGCACUCACAAAUCCGUUUGCAUUGACACGCGGCCCAAACUCCACUCGGCUGCCUUUGUCUCUGACUCUGACGACGAAGAAGAAGCUGAUGGCCCUGAGGAGCGGGGCCAGCAGCCUUUGGCUCUCACCUAUGAACAGCCCCUUGAGCCUGAACAUGGAGACUCCAGGCUGGAGGGUUGGGUUUCGCUUCUUCUCAAGAAUUCAAAGCGAUUUGCCUGGGACAAAAAAUAUGUGGUUGUAAGCAGUAAGAAUAUAUUGUUCUACAACAGCGAGCAGGACAAAGAUCAACAUCUCGCUUACAUGAGUUUGGACAUCAGUAAGCUGUUCCACGUUCGCUCCGUCACUCAAACAGACGUGUACCGUGCAGAUCCCAAAGAAAUUCCAAAGAUAUUUCAGAUCCUCUACGACAACGAAGGCGAGAGCAAACGAGAGCAGGAAGCCACAGUGGAAACCACUUCCAACAUCGACCGGAACAAUCUCAUCAGCCACAAAGGCCACGAGUUUGUUGUCACUCUCUAUCACUUCCCCACCAACUGUGAGACUUGCAACAAGCCCCUGUGGCACGUCUUCAAGCCCCCGCCGGCCAUCGAGUGCCGCCGCUGUCACUUCAAGUUCCACAAGGACCAUUUGGACAAAAAAGAAGAAGUUUUUGCUCCCUGCAAAGUGAACUAUGACAUGUCCACUGCCAGAGACCUGCUGGUGCUAACCAGCUCCAAAGAGGAACAGCAGCACUGGGUCAGCCACCUCCUCAAGCGCAUCCCAAAGAAAAACCCGACAAAGAGUCCUCAGUCUUCAGCGCUGACCAGCCCCACGGAACCACAGUUGCAGCCUCCUUCCCGACCCUCCCCGCGCCUUUCACCAAGAAAUUCUCCUCAGUUAUCGACCCAUCGAGGGGCUGUCAGGUCCAACAGACAACAGCAAGCAUCAGGGAAGAGCAGCUCUGGCCCCAUGCUUCGCAUCAUCCUUCACUGACCUCCCCACCUCUGACUCCACCUUUCUAAUGUCUCUCUGGCUGGGAGACUGGUGCUUGAUUUUGACCUGAAAAACUGGAGUUGGUCUGUGGAUUAUGAUGAUGAUGAUGAUAUGUUCUUCUGAAGAAAAAGGAAGGACAGAGGUUAACCGAGGCUGCGUUUUCAGCAUUAUGUGGAUUGAUGAUGGACAGAAAUGCCGGCAAAGAAAUCAACUGACAAAAAACAACAAAAGGGACUCAAACAUUCUCAGAAAAUGUGACAUCGCCAGAUUGUUUUAAGAUCUUGUUUUUAUUAUAAACAAAGCCACAUUUUUAUAAUCAAAAGAUUACGUUUUAGAUUCAUUUUUUAAAAUUUUAAGCAUGUCUUUGAGCAUUUGUAUAGAAAGAACAGAAAAGUCUGUUAUGCAGAACCUGUUACUUUUGAUUGUAAUGAAUAUUACACCAGCACAAUGUACACAUGUGAUCCUGUAAUUGUAUGAAUAGAGUUAUUUGAAUGGAGUAUUUUGAGCCCUUUGAGCUUUUGACACUAAAAAUCUGCAUUGUAAUGCAGUAGCAUAAAAAGCAAAAACAAGUUUUUUCUUCUAUAAUUGCAUCUAUUCAUUCAUGUUUAAUAAAACAUGACUGUUUUCAAAUGGAUCAAUAAAAGACUGAUACUAAACUAUUAAA